rnacentral:lncRNA from 1 species
CUAGAAUAAAGCAGGCAGAAGAAGGUGGAAGGAGCCGACGUGCUGAGUCUUCCAGGCUUCAUCUUUCUCCUGUGCUGGAUGCUUCCUGCCCUCGAACAUCAGACUCCAAAUUCUUCAGCUUUUGGACUCUUGGAUUUACACCAGUGGUUUGCUAGAGCCUCUCGGGGCGUUGGCCACAGACCGAAGGCUGCACUAUCGGCUUCCCUACUUUUGAGGUUUUGGGACUCAGAAUGGCUUCCUUGCUCCUCAGCUUGCAGACAGACUAUUGUGGGACGUCAACUUGUGAUGGUAGAUGGAGUUUCACCAUAUUGGCCAGGCUGAUCUCGAACUCCUGGACUCAAGUGAUCCACCUGCCUUAGCCUCCCAAAGUGCUGGGAUUACAAGGCUCUCCUGGGUAGGCAGUGGAAGGAAAUGACAGUGAACUCGAAAUGUGAGUGAGACUUCUCCUCACCCAGCUCCAUGCUUUGUCCUCCUCCUCUUUCCGUUCCUCCUCUUGGAAACAUAUCCAGCUGGAUGCAGCAUCCAGGACCCUAAUGAAUAUUCCCUUCCAGAAUCUCCACCUUCACCCAACUGUUUUACCUCCCUGGCAAUAAAACCAUCAUGAAAAAACCUGCGUUGUGCCACAUUUUUGAGGGUAUACUCUAUACUGGCUUUCCAGUCAGGAAGAUCAAGGGGUAGUGGCAACAGAUGACUCAUCAAC